UCUUUCCUCGCCCGCCUGCGCCGCCGAGGAGUACUUCAUUGCCAGACCUGAAAAAAUGGGAUGCGACUCACACUCCCGACUAAGCAGCAAAGACGGCGCCGGAUCCGGCGGAAUUUGCAUGGCGUCCAGGCUGCUGAGUGGGCUCCCUCCACACGGGUAAACAAUUUGUAGAUCCUGAAACUGCCUGCUGCGUCCCGACAGAUUGAAGCCGAUCGGGUGGCGUUGGAAGUUCGAACAAUGGUGGCUGAAGAGCGAUGCUCGCCGGGGGGUGAAACUUCGAGAUCCUCGAGCAGCUAGGGUUCUCGGCUAGGUUUCCUCUAUUAGCUCUCUAUCUUCAUCUUUUCUGCAAAAUUUUCUCUACAAUCCUCUCUUCCGCACAACGAUUCUACUGUGUCCGCACUGCAAUUAUGUCUCUCCAGUCUCCAUUUUGUGCAGGGAGUGUUCAUGCUGGUUCCGGUCAACUUUGUCAGCCAAGGCUGGGCUUCCGCCCAACGAUUCUAUGGUGUUCAGUGUAAUUUAUCAUGCCUCUCCGGUAUCCAUUUUGCGCUGGGACUGUUCAUGGCUCCAUGCUGUUUCCAGUCAACUCGUUCAGGCAAUCUUGGAGGCUGGGCUGAUGUAUUGAAUUGGGGAUUUCUUGCGUGACAAUUCCUUAUGGUUGCCGGCCAGGCCAGAUACAACCUUCAAGCUUAUUACAUGACCUCCAUCUGCAUCAUUUACAGAUUGUUUGCUUUGGUAAGGUCUUUGUACUACUUACGGCUAAAUAUCUCUUGGUUUUGUUUUCUACUAUAUAUAGUGCUAUCAUCAACAGUUCAAUGUCUUGUGAACCAAAGCCAAUAGCAGUUAAAGGUUCAUCUGGCAGCCAUCGUUCUUGCCUAGUGCUAGGAACGGUUGCACUCCCUGCUGGGGGUUGAUGGCGCGUCAACCAUUGUGCAACACAGAGUUCAAGUGAGGAGGGGGAGGAGCUACGGCUACGGCCUGAUGUACAAGCACAAGAACCGGCAUAGAUCGGUGUUCAUUCUCCAGACUGGGUCAGCUGAAUGUGUCGAAGAGAACAUUCCAGGUCUGCAUUCAUCAGUCUAAGUACUUCAGCUUUUUAGUUGUGUACUGAUUUUUCUAUGGAUGGCAUACUCCCCGUUGGACAAGCUCUUCCUAGAUGUCAAAAGAUAGGUUGAAAGAAACUGUUUUAUUAUUGCAAUCCACUCGGUUAAUUUUCAGCUGACCAUGCCAAAUUUAGAAAAUUCUCUUGUAGUGAGUUAAUGUCUCUUAGAUACAUCCAUCCUCUAUAAAAUUAAGCUACCCGUUGUUUCUUGCUUUCAGUUGAAACUACUCGCAUUUACUACCAAGUAACAAUACAAUAUCAUUAUCAUGCAGUAUGGGAAAAAUGGAAUGUGUGCGUGAGGUUAAUUCAAUUUCGAAUGUGUUAUUUACAGAUAAAGAAUACAGAUUCAUUAAAUGCAGAACCUUCAAAUACAUGCUUGACAUAUUCUAAUGCAUUUUACUUAAUCAUCUACCGCCAAUAAGACCACUUCCAUGCUCUCAACUAUAUAAAGUUGUGCACAUUCCUUUGAAAUAAGCUAAGUCACAUGAUAUAAUAGUUGUUAUUUACUUAUAGACGAGUGAUCAAUUUUACUCCAGCAUUAACAUGCACUAACGUGAUGUACUUUAUUAUUAUAUUGGUACACAAAUAAGCAUGCACGCAUAUACACAUGACUCAAACUAGGGAAGUCUAUUUUUUCCAAGUUUCAAGUAUUAGUAAAGAUAGUUUCACAGCCAUACACAAUACACAGUUUUAAAUUCUGAUUUGUUAUUAAGUAGUAUAGUUAUGUAUUUGCUAGGUUUUUGUCCAUGUUUAGUAGCAGAGGAAAGCGCUGAGUUUUUAAUCAUUCUUGUGUCACUAUACAGAUUAUCUACUAUACUGGCGAUAUUACUUUCAAUUCAUCUCCUUUUUUUUGUGAAUCAUUCAAUUCAUCUCCUUUCAGUGGAAAACAAUCCUUCCCUACUGGAUUAUGUGUGUUCCAUUCAUCACUUUACAGAUCAGAUGUUAAUGGGCCUUUUAUUUUUCAAAAAGGGGUAAAUGGCUAAGUUCUGAUAAUUUCCUAGGAGUAAGGAGACAUGCAAAUGACGCAGAUUGUGUACUGCAAGGUUUGCUUCUUUUUUUGGUUAUACGUCUGCAGCAGUUAGAUAUUAGUUCUUGUGCACAUGAUGUUUGUCGAUUUAAGGAAUUCUACUUUAGAUUUAAAUCUAUAGCCCUGAAUCCUAUUCAAAUAGGACAUUAUGUGAGGAUCUGACAAUUAAAGGACAUGAAGUUUGGGUAUACAUUCAAAUCUUGAUUUCUCGUGCGCGUGUGUGUGGGUGGGGGUGGGGUCUUGUUACUAUAUGUCCUAUGAACAAGGCCUUUGUCGGUUCCAACCAGCUAAUAUAUCUUGGACACUAUGUAUGACCUCACUGUCCUCGGCUUUCUACAAUACUUCUCACGAUAGUCACCAGUCGCUCAGUGAGGAAUGAGGACCUUGAAAGAUGACAUGUGUUUAUGCUUUCAGCAUCCAAGGAGGCUGCUAAUGAACUGCCAAACAGAUGUUGAUGCAGUAAAAUCAUGAGCAAAGUCUCCACAUGUGGUGGCCAAGGAAAUACGAGCUUCCAUAACAAUCAGCUAGGGACAAUUACAUAGGACAAAUCAAGAUUGCACAAGGUGACGUAUGUGUUUAUGCUUUCACCAUCCAAGGAGACUGUUCAUUACUUAUCAUGCAUUGUCUAUAGAGUUACCUGCUUACCUUCGAGUAUGGUUAAGGUGCAGCUAAGCCUUCUAGCCAAUGCAUGAUAAUCUCAAGAUUAUGCCAGUAACCUGCGGUAGACAUAUGUACACUGGUACACUUUUUAUCAUAUUAUCCUCCAGAGUAAGGAGUCCUCC